GGGGGCGCACUGGUUUCGACUGGUUUCGUUCAGCCCUGGGUUGCGUGUCGGGCAUCUCGAGUCAGCCCGUAAAAUCCUCUCGGGACGGCAUUACAUGCCAACAACUUUUCUCUCGCUGCCUGAUUCGUCAUGCAGCCGUCUACCCGGGAAGUGCCUGCGGUCCUGGGUAGACGCCACUAGCAGGCUGGCCGGCGAGUCGCGCCUCGGGGCGGACCGGUGAGAAACUUCCGAAGCUGGCGCACGAGCGGCUCGUCCACGAACGGCCCGCGCGCGAGAUCCAACCGUGGAACACACACGUAGAUGCCCUGGGUGAGAAGAUUUCAGGACGUGGGUUCAAUUCCCACCGCCUCCACCA
rnacentral:tmRNA from 1 species